CUUCAGAAUAGUAGUGACUUAACUCAAAAAUCUAAGAAAUUGAGUUACGGUCAUAGAGGGUCACUAAAAGGUACGCACUUUUAGGUGAAUAAUAAAGAAGCGGCGUUUUUAUGUUAGAAUAAAGAUUACGAUACUUCGGUCUCUUUCGCACUGCCUACCUCUACCCGCGCCGCUCGGAUCGGUAGCGACGCAAUCAGUGAUGCAUCAAACAAGUCGUCGCAAGUUUAUUAGUGAACUGACCUAAAACGUAAUAAGUCACUUGUGUACUGAACAAACGGAUAAGAAUAAAAAUGAAGAGAAGAGCAGACUUAAUAUUUGAGAAAUUACAAAUAAAUGAGCAACAAGAGGUGGACGUAGUACCAUGCAAUUACAAAAAUGUAAGUUGGCCCUUGGACCAAAUGCGGAAAUCUAGUGACGCGGCUUGUAAUUUUAUAUACCUAUUCCUUGUUUCUAUUUAUUAGAUAUUGUUUUUACGGAAAUGCAUCACAGUAAGUAGGAUAUGAAAUGUUUAUGUUUUUGUGCUUUAUCGUUACAGGAUAAAAUUAAUAAAGAGAACAUUCCUCAUUCUAUUGAGCAAAGAAAACGAAAGUUGACUUAGGUAACUAAAUGUUAAUGUGUUUUCCUAAUUUUUUAUUUUUCCCAUAACUUUCUUUUUAGUUUUAUAACUAAGUAGGUACGGUAAGUAGGUACACCCAGCUUUAAGAAGGUUAAUAGUGGUUAUGAUGUUUACAGAAUGAGUAUGAAAGCGAUACCUCUCGGCCAUCUAGUCCAUCAAUAAUAGAAGGCACACCUGAAAAAAGAGUGCUGUUAUCAAAUCAUGCACACGAACUUUGCGAUGGCAAAAGAAACAUACCUAGGGUUGGUCUCUCAUUACGUAAAUCAUUAUUUAAUGCCAUGAAAUAAAUUGCAUACUCAAUUAUUUGAUAAUCUACGAAAACGUCUACGAAAUCCCAACAAUUGGAAACAAAUUGUUGCAAAAACUUUGUGAAAUACUGGGAAAGAAUAUGUUUCUAACACUAAAUCUAUAAAAAUUGUUCCUGCUCGUUCAAUAAAAGAUCCAUGUACCAGCAAAUGUAGAGUCAAAUGUGUCGAUAACAUAAAUGAGAUCGAUAGAAAUCUAUUAUUUAAAAAAUAUUGGGCACUAGGAAACGUAGAAUAACAGAGAUCUUUUGUUAGAAAUUCAUGAUAGAAGUAAAACCAAAAUAUAAAUACACAAAUGCAGCUAGACCAAGACAGUCUAAUAAUGCAUUUUAUUUUACAGUUAAUGAUACUAAAAUUAGAGUUUGCAAAACUUUUUUUAUAAACACGUUAGGUAUAUGUGACAGGCAAAUAAGAACUGUUAAAAAGAAGACAGAUGCGCAAGGUUUCAUAGAGAAAGAUAACCGAGGUAAAAACCAGAAUAGAAAAAGGACAGAACCAGCAAUCCUACAAGAUAUUAUAAAGAACCACAUUAAUUGGAUACCAAGGAUUCAAUCGCAUUAUUUAAGGUCUUCAACUUCUCGCGAAUAUAUAGGUGGAGAGAAAACAAUAAUGGAUCUUUGGAGAGAUUUUGAUAAAGAUCAACGCGACGCAGGAAAAGCUACAUUUGAAUAUUGGUUAUAAUAUUAGGACAUUUUCACAAAAGAGUUUAAUAUUGAAUUUUUCCAACCCAAGAAAGACAGAUGCGACCUAUAUUUUGAAUAUGAACUAGUUUCUCCAGAAAAAAAACUACAACUAAAAGAAAAAUAUGAUCGUCAUUUAAAAGAAAAAGAUUUAUCCCGAAAAGAGAAACAUAAUUAUCGACUCAACAUUGAUGAAACCCAUAUUUGUGCAGUGUUCGACCUGCAAGCAGUAAUGCAAUGUCCUAGCGGUAUUACAAAACAAAACUGAAUUGCCUCAACUUUACAAUCGUGGAAUUACUAAAGAAAAGAGACAACAAUUUGGAGGAAUAUACAGAAAGUGUACACAAACGUGAUAUUGGAGCUUAUGGAGACGUCUACAGUUUUUUCUGGAACGAAACUCAGGGGAAACGCGGAUCUAGCGAGAUCGGAUCGUGUGUUCUUAAUUAUUUGGAGAUUUUAAAUGCAAGACAUCAGGGUCAGGCCAUCACGUUACGUUUUAUUCCGACAAUUGCUGCGGACAAAUAAAAAUAAAUAUGUAGCUUGCUUAUAUUCCUACGCAGUAUCACAUUUUGAGAACAUCCAGUCUAUAACCCAAAAGUACCUAAUAAAGGGUCAUACCUAAAAUGAAGGGGUCAACGUCCACAGCCUCACUGAAAUGGAAAUCCAACGGAAUAAAAAGGCUGGACCCAUAUACGCACCUUGUCAAUACGUCACUUUAAUAAAAAAAUCGCGAAAAAAACGAAAAACCGUUGAUUGUUCAAGAAUUAACGUAUGAUUUUUUUUGGGACUUAAAGAUGUUUCAAGAGAAAUGCUUAGAAAGGCUUAUAACUUUAGUGAAAAUGAAAAUAAAGCCAAUGUGACUUGGAAUGAUGUAAAAAUUCUUAAAUUUACUAAAGAUGAUACGUUUACGUUUUACUAUAAGACAUCUUAUAGUCAAAAUGAGUUCAACAAGGUAAAUAUGAGAAACAAAAGGAAGAAGAUGAGUGAUAUAAGAGAAAUUGCUAUGAACAAAGCAUACUCCCAAAGAUUGGUGUUAUCUGAGAGGAAAAAAAACUGUCUUACGUUCCUUGAUUGAACAUAAUCUGAUAGAAAAAAUAUAGAAAUUAUGCUGAUUUUUAUAAUAACAUUAUUUAAUAAUUAUUUUUAUAAGUAUAACAGGCUCUUCUGCUAUAGG